rnacentral:rRNA from 2 species
CCAGUAGAGUUUGAUCCUGGCUCAGGACGAACGCUGGCGGCGUGCCUAAUACAUGCAAGUCGAGCGGACAGAAGGGAGCUUGCUCCCGGAUGUUAGCGGCGGACGGGUGAGUAACACGUGGGUAACCUGCCUGUAAGACUGGGAUAACUCCGGGAAACCGGAGCUAAUACCGGAUAGUUCCUUGAACCGCAUGGUUCAAGGAUGAAAGACGGUUUCGGCUGUCACUUACAGAUGGACCCGCGGCGCAUUAGCUAGUUGGUGGGGUAAUGGCUCACCAAGGCGACGAUGCGUAGCCGACCUGAGAGGGUGAUCGGCCACACUGGGACUGAGACACGGCCCAGACUCCUACGGGAGGCAGCAGUAGGGAAUCUUCCGCAAUGGACGAAAGUCUGACGGAGCAACGCCGCGUGAGUGAUGAAGGUUUUCGGAUCGUAAAGCUCUGUUGUUAGGGAAGAACAAGUGCGAGAGUAACUGCUCGCACCUUGACGGUACCUAACCAGAAAGCCACGGCUAACUACGUGCCAGCAGCCGCGGUAAUACGUAGGUGGCAAGCGUUGUCCGGAAUUAUUGGGCGUAAAGGGCUCGCAGGCGGUUUCUUAAGUCUGAUGUGAAAGCCCCCGGCUCAACCGGGGAGGGUCAUUGGAAACUGGGAAACUUGAGUGCAGAAGAGGAGAGUGGAAUUCCACGUGUAGCGGUGAAAUGCGUAGAGAUGUGGAGGAACACCAGUGGCGAAGGCGACUCUCUGGUCUGUAACUGACGCUGAGGAGCGAAAGCGUGGGGAGCGAACAGGAUUAGAUACCCUGGUAGUCCACGCCGUAAACGAUGAGUGCUAAGUGUUAGGGGGUUUCCGCCCCUUAGUGCUGCAGCUAACGCAUUAAGCACUCCGCCUGGGGAGUACGGUCGCAAGACUGAAACUCAAAGGAAUUGACGGGGGCCCGCACAAGCGGUGGAGCAUGUGGUUUAAUUCGAAGCAACGCGAAGAACCUUACCAGGUCUUGACAUCCUCUGACAACCCUAGAGAUAGGGCUUUCCCUUCGGGGACAGAGUGACAGGUGGUGCAUGGUUGUCGUCAGCUCGUGUCGUGAGAUGUUGGGUUAAGUCCCGCAACGAGCGCAACCCUUGAUCUUAGUUGCCAGCAUUCAGUUGGGCACUCUAAGGUGACUGCCGGUGACAAACCGGAGGAAGGUGGGGAUGACGUCAAAUCAUCAUGCCCCUUAUGACCUGAGCUACACACGUGCUACAAUGGACAGAACAAAGGGCUGCAAGACCGCAAGGUUUAGCCAAUCCCAUAAAUCUGUUCUCAGUUCGGAUCGCAGUCUGCAACUCGACUGCGUGAAGCUGGAAUCGCUAGUAAUCGCGGAUCAGCAUGCCGCGGUGAAUACGU